AACCGAUCUAACUCCUUUCACAUGACCUGUCCUUUCGCUUCCCAUUCGCCAUUGCCCACUUCGGUACUUUAAUGACGAAGCCUUCCAACCUAAGAUAAAGCCAGAAAAAGGAACCACGCAAGAAGCCAUUAAAGUAUCUUCUAAGCUUUCUAUUUUCCGUACUUUAAUGGCGACUUAUUUGUUGCUAUGACGAUCACGGCAAUCGUAAGGAGCUCAGAUCUGUCCAUUUCGUUCGAGGAUUACUGGUCCUCGAUUUUGCUCACGUCAACUCCACCUGGUUCCGUUGUUUAUUUAGCAUUUCUUUAAUCGAGUGCAUCUUUGUUCUUUGGAUAUGGUGGAAUUCGUUUCGUCAGCUUCUCAUUUGCAGCUUUCGCUGCCUUUAUUUCUGGUUCUAUAAACCCUUUAAAGACAAAACCCCACCUUACACCUUUCAAUCCAAUCCGAAAUUAAAAAUUAAAAAAAAAAGGAAAAAAAUCCGCCAAACCAAUCCAUCAAGCUAUUGAGCAAUCAAGCAAGCUCUAGAAGGACUUGAAAAUGGCGAUUUUGGAAGCAUCAAUGACUGCAACGGUUGAUAAUUCUGAAGAGAAUCAGGAGAACUCAGUGCCAUUGAUUCCUGGGUUACCGGACAAGAUCGCCGAGCACUGUCUUUUACAUCUCCCCUACCCUUAUCAGACGUUGGUUCAUUCUGUGUCUUCAUCUUGGAACAGAGCCAUAACAAACCCCAACUUUCUGCUUUCCAAGAAAACCCUCUUGCUCUCUUUCCUUUACAUCUUCGUCUUCACCUUUCACAAACCGACGGGCAAGAUCCAAUGGCAAGCCUUGGACCCAUGAUCGGGUCGUUGGUUCGUCUUACUUCCCAUGCCCUGCGUCAAACUUGUGUGCCUUCCUGGCUUCGCCUGCGCAUCGCUGUCACGACAGGGUGCGCUUAACAUGCUCGGCAGGAUGCGCGCUUCAACACGGAGACGUCGUUGCAAACGUUGAUGACCUAUAGGCCAGUGCCUAUGGCUAAAAUGCGCGUGGGGUUGGCGAGGUACGCUAACGAGAGUUCUAAAGGUAAAAUGGUCAUUUUAACAUUUUUCCGUUUAUGUUUAACGAUCCUGGUAAUGUUUACACAAUUGUCAGAAACAGUCAAUUUUCAAACAAUAAAGUGAAGAGAAGACAUAUGAGUGAGCCAA